ensembl:lncRNA uncharacterized LOC107214140
UCAGCACCCGCUUCUCUGCGCCCGCCUCCCCCGCGCGGGCCAAUCAGCGCGCGCGCAGCGGCCCAGCCAAUCGCAGCACAGCCGUUGGGGUGUGGGGGGGGAGGCCGUAACGACCCCUCGGGCCGCCCCCGCCCCGCGUCCCCUCACGGGCCGCCGCCUCCCCCCCGCCGCGCUCCCCGCGCACUCACCGGGGCGGCCGGCGCCGCGACCUCCGCCUGCUCCGCCCGCUGCCCGCGCUGCCUCCGGCGCGGCCUGCGGGAGGCGGGGGGGGAAAAGGGGGGCGGCCGAAGCGGAGUGAGCGCCGAGCGGCCGAGAAACAAGAUGGCGGCAGGGCCGUGAGGCGUCGGGGCGGAGGCUCCGCCCUUUUUUGUCCCCCCCCUUCCCCUCCUCGGGCUGGGCCGCGGCGGCGCGCGCGGGCGCGUGACCCAGCGGGGAUCUCGCGAGAGUGGAGACUGGAAGCAGCUGAUAAUCAGAAGAAAAACCCCAAAAGCAGCCCUAAAGGAAGGGGAAGCAAAGGCUGCCUUGACAUUCCCCUCAAAUCCAUCAGUUCUGGAACAACAUCCAACUGGAGUAAUGAGGAAAAAUAGGAAAAGGAUUCCAUCCCAAAGAUUCUCCAGGUGCCUGCCUGGAUCCUCCAAGAUCCCUUCCCCAUGUGACAGUUUCAUCCUGUGGAUCCUCACAAUUCCAUGGAGGAACCUAAGGAAUUUAUUCCCACCCCUGGAUGGAUUUCUGUUGUUAUCCAUGGAUAUCCCUGGCAGUGCAAUCCCAGGGAUCAUCCAGGGACGUUCCUGGCUGAGCUGCUCCCUCAGCACAGGAAGAUUUUCUCCUGCCAUCCUGGAGCUUCUUCAAGCCAAGCACCGAGGACGACGAUCCAUCCCCACAAUUCCCUGGAAAACGCCCCAUUUAUUAAUUAAUUACCGAGCACUGCUGCUCCUGCUGCUGCCAGGCCCAGCUGUCCCAGCACCCAGCUUGGAUGCAGCUCCUCUCCAGGGAUUUCUGGACAAUCCCCCCUUGCUCCUCCUCCCGCCGGAUCCUUUUGUGCGGCUCCGUUUCCUCCCCACCUGCUCCCUUUUCCAGCCGCAAUGGAUCCAUUGUCUGGAGCUGCUCGGCUUUUCCCACAGGGAUUGCAGCUCCACAGAGCUCCCUGUCAGCCUGCCCGGAACGUGGAGGAGCCAAGGAAAACAUGAAACAGGGAAGGGAAGAAAAAAAAAAAAAAAAGGAAAGGAGAAAGUGCUUUUGCAGGAAUUUGGUGGCGCUCUGAUGAGUUUGGAUUUACCCAGCACCUUCCAACUGCUCAUCCCAUCCCUCCCAUGCUUCCCACUGCACCCCAGACCUAGAUUUGGGAGCCAAGGAUUCGUCUGGCACCAAGGAAAACCAGCUCGGAGCAGCAGAGACAAGGCUGACCCUUCCCAGCUCAGCCCCUGCCAUCCCCUGGGAUUCCUGUUUCAGCAGGACUCUGGAUUUAUCCCAAACCAGCUGUUGCUUUGGGGCAAUAAUCCACAGGCAUGGGAAAACCUGGAUAUAAAUUCUUUCUGGACAUGGACACACUUGCUUUAUGGAUCUGCAGGAAAAAGAGGCCAUUUAGGGCCAGAUUUGGGGGCCUGACCCUUUGUGCCACAUCCCACCUGGUGCCUGUCCUAGCUGGGAUGAUCCAUAGGGUAUUAAAGGAUAUCUAAGGAUAUUUAGGAAUAUGUCUAUGCCUGGACACUGAUUUGUUUAAACCUUCUGCUCUGAAAUUAAACCUCUGGGAAUAUAUUUUGACCUUUGGGUGUUCCCAAAGGAUUCCUUGAGGGCCCAGAAUUCCUGAGGGAUGAUCCAGGAUCAACUGUGGGCUUGUGGGUCCCCUUUUAUGCUCAGGUUUGAACCUGUGUGCCAGGAAAUUUUACUUUUUCUAAUCCAGAUGGGAAUUCCCAACAGAAUCCUGGUCUCCCUCAUUUUCCCAGCCCUCAUUUCCUAAGGAAGAGCUGACAGAAAACAGGAAAAACCUACAAAACUUUAGGAUCAGCACUGGGAGCUGAGGUGCUCAGCCUGGUGAUGAUUGGGAGGCCUCAUUCCCAAUAUUCCCACUCUGCUGGCAGAGGGGAGAGGAUUUCCCAGGAAUGCACCUCCUGCCCAGUUCAACCCCCUGGCUGUCCCAGUAUCCAGCUGGUGAGCUCUGGUGACCUGAUUGCUCCUGCCAGGAGAUUUUCCAGUGUCUCCACACAGCUCCUGCUCCUGCCAGAACUGGGACACGCCUCUGGCAGGGAGAAGGGAAGGAGCUGACCCAGCUCCAGCAGCUCAUCCUGCUGGGCACUUCCAGAGGGGCCAGGGCUCAUCUCACAGCCAGGACAGGGACUGGCACCUUCCUAGAGCAGGGUUAUUCCAGGGAAUCCCCACUGGGAUUCCCAGUCCUGCCAUAAACCAGCCCCUUUCCAUAACCCUUCUCCAGAUGCAGCUUCUCCUUCCCUGAAUGCAGUUCCAGGACCUCCAGAACAGCCUCAGAGCCUCCAGGACAGCCCCAGGAGCACCCUGGGAAGCUCCAGGAUUCUUCUGGGAAGCCUCAGUCCUCUGGAAAUCUCCAGGACACUAUUGGGAACCCUCAGCAUCCUCCUGGGAAGCCCCAGGA